CUGCCUCAGGUGGGAGGAAGUAGAGGGGAGGGCAAGGGGCAUGUGGAUGAUUCCAGGGCCAGGGCCAGGGACACCGAUGUAUCAGGGGUUGUGCUGGCAGGAGGGGGUGGGUGAGGACUCACAUGGACAGCCUUCAUGAGUGUCCAGGCUGAGAUGUACCUACUGUGCUCGAGAUAAUCUUUGAGACUUGCCCUCCCCCACUUCAUUCUCCCCACUGUCUCUUGAGAAAGAAACAGGGGAUUGGGUCUGCUGUCCAUUGCACCCUGAUCCAACCAGACUGGAAAAGCUAGGUCUCUUCUCUCAGAGUCAGGUACCACAGGAGGAAGGUGAUGAGGCCCACAAGGGGCAUGAAAGAUGCAAACACAAUCUCAUAUUGAUGUCUCAGGUGAGUGACUCAGGAUUCUCACUGCCCAACAUGCCCCAGACACCACCUCCUGGAUGGUCCCUGGGAUUGCUCUGUCACCAUGUUUUUUUUUUUUUGAGCUGCCAUCUUCCUCCCCCAACCCACUACUUUACUGGGUCCUGGUCACACAGAUGAUACAGUGCCCUCCCUUCCUGCUUAGUGAUUCAAUAAAUCACUAAGUUUUUUUUACCGUUCCUCCUUAUCGCAGCUCAGCUCAAUGCCCAUCUCCACCCCAUCCUGACCCUGGUUGUUCCUGGGGCCUCAUCUCUUCCUGGGUCUCUGAACCUAAUCAAGUCCUGCCUCAACCUCUGUAGUCAACCCAGGCCUCCCAACUGUCUUUGCACACACUUAUCCUCCUUGCCCCACAUAGUUUGAACAGCAACAUUUCUUCUCUGUGUCCGGGAUGAGAAACAAUCUCCACAGACUGGAUUUAGAGCUGGCAUAGCCUGUGUCCUGCUGGACUCUCCACUGGAUUCCACCCUCUUCCAGAAUCUCACACCAUCUCCACACCUAGCUGGGCCAUGGCCUCUGUGACUCUGAGAGUUUGCACGUGCAGUUCCUUCUGCAGAAAUGCCCUUCCCUUCAGAUUCUUAUAUAUCUAAGUGUACACUGGGGAUGCAACUGUGAACCCAGCAGCAAAAUCCAUGUCAUCCAGAAGCUGCCAUUCUGGAGGCAAGAGAAUAGAAUUUAAAUCAGUGAUGACACUACAGCACUGAGUCACAGAAGAGAGGGCCUGUGUUUCAAGACCAGAGAGGGGAUUUGAGGGGAAUGUUCAUUCUGAGAAGCCACCUCUUGACCAUCAAGGGACAUCUGCGAGUGUGCUGGUGUGACUGAUGGAGAUGAAGAGAUGGUCAGGACUGGAGAUGGGCGCAUGUGUGACAGUGUGAGAGGGUGACAGCGGUGAGUGAGGACAGGCUCUGGCCACCCACAGAGGAGAGAAGACACAGAAAACACAUCGUAACUGGUCUCAGUGAUUUGGGGGCUAGAAAUUCAUGUAAGGAGUAAGAUAUCUUUUCCCUGUGUCCUUCUAAGUUCUCAACUGAGAUCACUGGAACAAA